AUUUUCUUUCAACUUUUUUUUAUUUAGGAUUGACAAUCUAAUUUGUUGUUUGCAUGUCAGCUCGUGUUCAACUUAUUAAUAAAUAAGCCGAAUACGAGCUAAAUUUUUCAAUUCAAUAUUUUAAUGAGCUAGCUCAUGUUUGACUCAUCUAUAAAUGAGCGAACACGAGCCGAACCUAGGUCGUUCAUGUUCCGCUGUUUGACAGCCCCGG
rnacentral:lncRNA from 1 species